GUGAGUCAGGCACACCCUCAAAUCAAGCUAGUCUGAGCAGAGGCCCUUUGACUUUAGUAAGUGGAAUCGCCAUGUCGAGCCGCUGUAUUCUUCGUUGUGAGGGGCAAACAUCUAUGCAUUGCCUUCCAAAGGAUGACUUUGUGAAGAAUCAGUGGUUGAAAUUCAUUUUUAACAUGAUUCCUCAGAAGCACCAUCAGAACCAUUUCACCGAGGACUGCUUCCUGAACAGUUCAACUCCGGAUUUGCGCAACAUUUAGUCCUAUAAGAAGAUGCAACUCCGACUCUGGGCCUGGACAUUCACAACCUCAACCUGCAACCUAAGGCUACCCGAGGUGAAAACCAAACCACACCUGCACAGUAGAACCCAGCACCACCAGCACUGAUGAAAUAUUCAACACAUCACCAAGCCCUGGCAAGGAAUGGAAAAGACAGAUAGCUGCAGGUAGCUGCUGUCGAGGACAGGUCAGACCUCCCUGCGGGCCGGCUCCCUGGUUUCCCCUUUAGUUUGGUUUUCUUUGGUUGGGCUAUUGCUUUGUGGGAUUUAUCUUGUUUUUUCAUAUUACAACACCUUCACACAUACA